rnacentral:rRNA from 1 species
UACGGAGGGGGCGAGCGUUAUUCGGAAUUAUUGGGCGUAAAGGGCGCGUAGGCGGCCGGAUAAGUCAAAGGUGAAAUCCCUCGGCUCAACUGAGGAACUGCCUUUGAUACUGUUUGGCUCGAGUCCGGGAGGGGGUAGCGGAAUUCCCAGUGUAGCGGUGAAAUGCGUAGAUAUUGGGAGGAACACCAGUGGCGAAGGCGGCUACCUGGACCGGAACUGACGCUGAUGCGCGAAAGCGUGGGGAGCAAACAGG